rnacentral:rRNA from 1 species
AGGAUAAACGCUGGCGGCGUGCCUAACACAUGCAAGUCGAACGUCUCUUCUUUCGGGAAGAGGAGUGGCGGACGGGUGAGGAACACGUGGGAACCUGCCCUUUAGUGAGGAAUACCGGCGAGAAAUCGCCGACAAGACCGCAUAGCCCUCUUUGAUGAGAGUCAAAGAAGGAAAGCUUCGCAAGAGGCGCUAGAGGAGGGGCCUGCGUCCGAUUAGCUAGUUGGUGGGGUAAGAGCCUACCAAGGCGUCGAUCGGUAGCUGGUCUGAGAGGACGAUCAGCCACACUGGGAUUGAGAACGGCCCAGACUCCUACGGGGGGCAGCAGUGAGGAAUUUUCGGCAAUGGGGGAAACCCUGACCGAGCAACGCCGCGUGCAGGAAGACGGCCUUCGGGUUGUAAACUGCUUUUCUUGGGUAAGAGGAAGGACGGUACCAGAGGAAUCAGCCCCGGCUCACUAAGUGCCAGCAGCCGC